AUUGAACGCUGGCGGCAUGCCUUACACAUGCAAGUCGAACGGCAGCACGGGUGCUUGCACCUGGUGGCGAGUGGCGAACGGGUGAGUAAUACAUCGGAACAUGUCCUGUAGUGGGGGAUAGCCCGGCGAAAGCCGGAUUAAUACCGCAUACGAUCUACGGAUGAAAGCGGGGGACCUUCGGGUCUCGCGCUAUAGGGUUGGCCGAUGGCUGAUUAGCUAGUUGGUGGGGUAAAGGCCUACCAAGGCGACGAUCAGUAGCUGGUCUGAGAGGACGACCAGCCACACUGGGACUGAGACACGGCCCAGACUCCUACGGGAGGCAGCAGUGGGGAAUUUUGGACAAUGGGCGAAAGCCUGAUCCAGCAAUGCCGCGUGUGUGAAGAAGGCCUUCGGGUUGUAAAGCACUUUUGUCCGGAAAGAAAUCCUUGGCCCUAAUACGGUCGGGGGAUGACGGUACCGGAAGAAUAAGCACCGGCUAACUACGUG
rnacentral:rRNA from 1 species